rnacentral:lncRNA from 1 species
CCUGCUGUUACUAAAGACGACUAGGCAUCCUCACUGUUCCAUACUGUACAUACUCGUUUUCAUAGAUAAACAUUCUUUUAUUUCACUUCUCGCACAUUGGCAGUGCUUGUCCAUUUUCUUCCACUCUGAUAAAAUUCUUUAUUCGUCUUGCACGUAAAUGGUGCCUGCCUGCUGUUAUUAAAUACUACUAGCCUAACAUGUCGU